GGAAGUUGUUGGUUGUGGGUGGGGUGGAAAGAUUUGAUAAAUCUGUUUUUUUUUGAAAAAAAAAUGGAAAAUAGAUUAAAUCUUUCCUACUCCUCCCAUACCCAUGACUUCC
rnacentral:miRNA from 1 species